rnacentral:rRNA from 1 species
GACGAACGCUGGCGGCGUGCUUAACACAUGCAAGUCGAACGAAAAGGCCCCUUUGGGGGUACUCGGGUGGCGAACGGGUGAGUAACACGUGAGUAACCUUCCCUUGACUUCGGGAUAACUUCAGGAAACUGGGGCUAAUACCGGAUAGGAAUCCUUUCUGCAUGGUGGGGGUUGGAAAGCUUCGGCGGUUUUGGAUGGACUCGCGGCUUAUCAGCUUGUUGGUGGGGUAGUGGCUUACCAAGGCUUUGACGGGUAGCCGGCCUGAGAGGGCGACCGGCCACAUUGAGACUGAGAUACGGCCCAGACUCCGACGGGAGGGAGAAGUGGGGAAUAUUGCACAAGGGGCGGAGGCCUGAUGCAGAAACGCCGCGUGCGGGAUGACGGCCUUCGGGUUGUAAACCGAUUUCAGCAGGGGCGAAGCUUGUGGUGACGGUACCUGCAGAAGAAGCACCGGCUAACUACGUG